rnacentral:snRNA from 1 species
AGCUUUGCGCAGUGGCAGUAUCGUAGCCAAUGAGGUUUAUCUGAGGCACGAUUAUUGCUAAUUGAAAACUUUUCCCAAUACCCCGCUGUGACGACUUGCAAUAUAGUCGGCAUUGGCAAUUUUUGACAGUCUCUACGGAGA